GGUUUGGCUAUUGAUGGUUUCAGCGGCGGAGGUGGAGCGGCUAACAAUGGGCAAUUUUUCGGUCAGUUCGUCGGAAAAUUCGUAUCGGUUCUGAGUGCGGAUCCCGAUGAUGAUGAUGCUCCCAUCCGACCGGCUGAGUUUAUUGAAAAUCUUUAUGAUGGAAUUGGCAAGGGAUCCGCUAAACCAGAUGAGCGCGAAGGAGCUGGAGAAGAAAAUCCAGAUUGUGCAGAUAAAGGCGGUGGUUCAGAUUCGUCUGGAUUUAUUCAAGGUUUGUUGUCUGGUCUGAUACAUGUGAUUACGAAGGCAUCGGCAGGAUCAUCAGCAGGCUUAUCACAGGGAUCAAUACAAGGAGUGACUGGUUUAUCGGGCGGCUCUUCGUCCGGUUCGUCCGGUUCAUCAUCUGGUUCAUCGUCAGGAAAAGGCGACGCGGCAGCAGAAAAAAGGUAGACGUCUGAUGUAAUCUCUGAUAGACAUCAAAAUGGAAAAAAUGCAAUUUUGGCACCAUUUUUCAAAAUUUAAAAAAAAAAAUUCGCCAUUGAAAUAAUCAUCAUCCAUAAUAUUCACACACCACAAAAAAAAUCACAUUCACACAACUGAUAUCAGAUCAUCCAAGGUGAUUUUUACUAUAAAAAAAAUACAUAAAGUACUUUAUUCCAAAGUCAAAAUUUAGU